rnacentral:rRNA from 1 species
UACGUAGGGUGCAAGCGUUGUCCGGAAUUAUUGGGCGUAAAGAGCUCGUAGGUGGUUUGUCGCGUCUGCCGUGAAAGUCCGGGGCUCAACUCCGGAUCUGCGGUGGGUACGGGCAGACUAGAGUGAUGUAGGGGAGACUGGAAUUCCUGGUGUAGCGGUGAAAUGCGUAGAUAUCGAGAGGAACACCUGCGGCGAAGGCGGGUUGCUGGGCUGACACUGACGCUGAACUGCGAAAGCUAGGGGAGCGAACGGG